AUAAACUUGGGUUGUUAUUACAUUUUCGGGCUUCCACUUGGAUACCUUCUUGGUUAUAAAGCAAAUUUAGGAGUGAUGGGACUUUGGGUGGGCAUGAUAAGUGGAACUGCUCUACAAACUUUGCUUCUCUUGAUUGUACUCUAUAAAACCAACUGGAACAAGGAGGUGGAACAAACAACUGAAUGCAUGUGGAAGUGGGGUGGCCAAGACAUCAA